rnacentral:rRNA from 1 species
CAGCCGCCGCGGUAAUACGAAGGGUGCAAGCGUUACUCGGAAUUACUGGGCGUAAAGCGUGCGUAGGUGGUGGUUUAAGUCCGUUGUGAAAGCCCUGGGCUCAACCUGGGAAUUGCAGUGGAUACUGGGUCACUAGAGUGUGGUAGAGGAUAGUGGAAUUUCCGGUGUAGCAGUGAAAUGCGUAGAGAUCGGAAAGAACAUCUGUGGCGAAGGCGACUAUCUGGGCCAACACUGACACUGAGGCACGAAAGCGUGGGGAGCAAACAGGAUUAGAUACCCGCGUAGUCCCUGUCUCUUAUAA